UAAUCUUGGGCCUUGGAUUAAAUGUUGUGUUUCAUCUUUUGAACAGGUUUCAUUUGAUUUGACAGAGUAUUUGGAACAGCAUCUAGAAGCAUCUAACUGGGGGAUUAGGAUCUCUAGUUUUAGAAAAAAUGCCUUGUUUCAAGAUUAACAUGGACUCAAAACUUUCAGACAAGUGUUUUUUUUUUUUUUUUUAAUAUGUUCCACACUUUGAAUUUAUUUCUAUAAAAGCACCCAUCUCUGAUGUCCAUUUUUUCUUUUGAUGUUCGUUCUUUUUAAAUAAGCCACAAUUGUUUGUACAAUUUAGGACCUGACUCUCACAUGAAGAGUUCAAUGCAUUCCCAACUAACAUCAGGGAGCUCAAUGGUCAUCAAGAAACUAGGAUAUUAUCAUAUUUCAACUGGAGUAGAGUUUUUGGUGGAUCUGAACAAACUUUACAUGUAAAACUCACAUUCUCACAAGAAGCACUUGGAAACAUCACAAAGGAAGCUAGACCUGUAAGCAUGUUUUUCACCAUACUAAUGUAUAAUGCUUCAAAGCUUCGGGUGAGUUGGUCUUUUGACUAUAAAGGAAAAUUCUACAUGCUCCUUUCUUCAUUUGUUUCUUUCUUUUUCUUGAGAGGUAAGCUGAGAGAAUCCUGAUUAAUGUUGAAAACACAAUCGAUUGAUGAUUCUUGAGUCAUAUGAUUCAGAAGUUUACCAAUUCUAAAAGAUUCUUGCAACUAAACUGGUCAUUGAAUAGGCAUGGUCGUGUCCACACUUAUAGUAGAUCAUUUCACCAUCUUGUUGCUUUUUGAGCAUUAACUUUUGAACUUGUUCAUUGAUUUUCUCAUAAUAGAUGAGUCAAUCGAGCUAUCCAAGCCCCAAUUACUCUUUUCUUCGAUAUUGAGACUGAUCUCCAUCUUCAUGUGCAUUCCGCUAAUUUAAGAGGAUCUGUACAUGUAAACCCAACAAAGGUGCUCUAGAUUUCUGAUUUUUGAGACUUUGCUCUAUAUACGAUAUUCUUAAUCUUUUCUACUCUCUCCAUUAUGAUCUAAUAUUAAUUGUCUUCUUCAUUAGACUAGUGUACGCAAUCUUUCUUAGUACUUAAAGAUGAAACAUUUGAGACUUCCAUUCAAGUAUAUUCAUAUUAAAUUGCAUGUUUCAACCUGGUAAUUAAUGACUUAUUUUUUAAUUCAUUUAUUCUAUCUUUGUGGAAUGUUAUUUUUUGACCUUUUUUUCCCCUUACGUGCAGGAUUUUAAUUAAUUGUGCCUAAAUUUAGGCCUACAA